GCGCCAUUAGCUCAGUUGGUAGAGCAUUCCCCUUUUAAGGGACAGGUCCUGCGUUCGAGUCGCAGAUGGCGCA
rnacentral:tRNA from 3 species